rnacentral:rRNA from 1 species
GACAGAGGUCCCGAGCGUUAGGCGGAAUCACUGGGCUUAAAGCGUGUGUAGGCGGAGUGCUAAGUACCUUGUGAAAUCCCACGGCUCAACCGUGGAACUGCUUGGUAUACUGGUUCUCUUGAGCCACCUAGGGGCAACCGGAACAAACGGUGGAGCGGUGAAAUGCGUAGAUAUCGUCUGGAACGCCAAUGGUGAAGACAGGUUGCUGGGGGUGCGCUGACGCUGAGACACGAAAGCCAGGGGAGCAAACGGG